AGUGCAUGUCCCGCCCAGGGUCCUUGGUUGAGCGGAUCCCCAGCGACUGAUGUAAAGUCAUUCGUUGACCAACAAAUCUUGGAGAGAAUGACCUCCCCAUAGCCCAAUAUCUUAAUAAACGGGCCGCGAAUGUAUCUCUGAUCCAGUGCAAUUGCUGAGGGUCGAACAAACUCAUGCGUAGUCAAAUUUCUGAGUACCCAUUCCUCACUACAUGGAUAGAAACUCGACAGCUUUGGGUUCACCACACGAGUUAUAUCCGCCGGGCUGCCCCACUUGUGCCUGAGAUCAAGGGCUAGGACAAACAGACCAUGAGGAAAUCCUGUAGUGACUUCUGUGAUGCUUGUGUAUCGAGCAUUAGCUAAGUCAUACAGAUUGACAGGGAUCUCAGCAUAGCUCUCUGCUAAUCCCUCCUCCAGUUCCUCCACUUCCAGCCCUUUAGCUAGUUCAUCCAAAUCCUCUGAGGAUAGCAACCCAUCGGGGUACUUGCCAUCCCGGUGGCUUUCAUCACCUACACAUAUCACUGGGGUUCCAGCCCAGAGCCCCAGAUAGCCUGCAAAGUGCUCUGCAAUCACUGGCCUUGCUAAUACCCAGAAAUGCCAACAGCUAAGUCCCAAGAGAAAAACACUCUCAAUAUCUAAAAGCUCGAUAAUAAGAUUAUGUAUCUCACUGGGAAGUUGGAUCAACUGAGGUGUAGGCAUAUCGAUCGGGUUGCUUGACUGGCGACGUCUUUUCUGAGGGAUGACUUGUUUCUGACUUGUUGACUUCUCAGGCUUGCUGGUGGUACUGCUGUUCUUUGCCUCAAAUUCGACAGGUAUAACGGGCCUUGCAAAGAGAGAAACAAGGUCAGCUGCAGAUCCUUCGAAGAGAAUCUCUCCAAGCUUGCCCCCCCAGCUAAGUAUUUCUCGGCGAUGAGGCGCGACGAGGCGGAAGUGUUGGCCCAUAAUUAUGACUGGUAGUUACUGCGUCUAACGUCCAGGACGGGGAUUGUACCACAAGAGAAGAGAAAGUUUUUCAAUGGCAGCAGUUUUGAGCACCGUUCAACGAUAGGUGACCGAGAUCAAAGUGGUUCCAAGGUUGUAUUAGUUGCUAUCAACGGAGCACAUGGGGUGUCCGGGGCGCUAGUCCGUACCAGGAAGCCCAGGGCUCCUACGGCUUACACAUGGACCCCCAGGGGCCAAAGAUGCUUGACAGCCUAUCCGGGAGCUGAGACAUAUAUUUGUAUAUGUGCGGUGUGCAAGUCCACAAUACUCCUUGGACUAGCUACUGCAGAGAUAUCUACGCAGUAUAUAUGCCUACCCACGUGCAGCGGGGUGGCAGCCCGAGCAAAGUACGUCCCAACAAGUUUCUAAGUGUGUUGCUCGCACGAUUGAGAUUGGCUCUCAAUUAGACGAAUCACAUCCUGGUCAAAUAUAUAGAAGGUUUUUCUUGGAUUUGCUCCACAAGAAUUGAGGAUAGAAAAUAGUUAUAUUUCCUUCUACUACUAGAAUUCAGAAUCUUUUUGAAAAAUCAAAUGCAGCUGACCACCAACUGUUGUUGCUGACAUGAGAAAAUG
rnacentral:sRNA from 1 species